rnacentral:rRNA from 1 species
CCACGCCGUAAACGAUGAGUGCUAGGUGUCGGGGGUCAAACCUCGGUGCCGACGUUAACACAUUAAGCACUCCGCCUGGGGAGUACGUGCGCAAGCAUGAAACUCAAAGGAAUUGACGGGGACCCGCACAAGCAGCGGAGCAUGUGGUUUAAUUCGAUGCAACGCGAAGAACCUUACCAGGGCUUGACAUAUGGGUGAAAGACGUAGAGAUACGUCCCCUCUUCGGAGCAGCCAUACAGGUGGUGCAUGGUUGU